rnacentral:lncRNA from 1 species
GAGUUCUAAAAGACAGAGCAUGUAUAGAUAUUGGCCAUUCCGAUCUAUAUCCAACCUAUUGUUAUCGCUACUGUCCACUCCAGCCCUUGGAACAUAUUUGGAAGUGUUCAUAUAUUAAAUUUUGUAUAAGUUUUGAACUUUUUAUUGGAUAUUACAUAUACUUUUUUUCAUACAUUAAAAAGAGGGUUGCCAUCAGGCCCUUAUACUUUUGCUUUUUUUUUCCUAGAUACAAGAAGGCAAGAAUAUGCCACCAAAAAAUUUAUUAGGAAGCAAAAAGGAGAUACGUUUACAGUUAGCUCAUUAGAUAGAGCGAAGAACCUGCGCUUGAGCAAUGGAAUAUAGCAAAAUAAAUAGGAAAAAAAAUAAUAGAGAUAUAUCUGUUGUUAGCAGCGAGGGAUCAGGAAAAACAAAGAGAGCAAGAAUCCAUGAAAGUUUAAACUUAGGGCCUGCU